AGGAAGAUGAGUGGGAGCACAGGUUCCUCAUCUGCAAAACACAGAUAACAGUGGCUUCAUCUACAUUCUUCAUUGUAAAGAAUGAAUGAGAUCAACUGCAUUUAGUAAGCACUCAGAAGUGUUUUUAUUUUCAUACUGCUGCUCCUCUGUGAAAAUUCAAGAUACUGUUCAAAGAAGAGAAAGGAUUCAAGAUUGCAGGGAACCUGUGAGGAAGAGUUAAAAAUCAAAGAUGGCUGCAAGGAAAACCUGCCCUGAGACUGAUGCUUGGUGUGUCUGUGGCACAUACUGUCAGGCACCUCCCACAUCCCCUUGGCCGCAAAGAUCCUACAGCUGCAGUGGACCAUUCUCAUCCAUUAAGAAGGUUCCUCCUCAAGCACCUGUAUCUUUCUACAUAUAGCUACGCACUUCCUGAAUAACAUGCUCAGCCAAUGUGUGUGAUAGCCCAGGAAUACAAGAGAUGCCAGAGGGUUAAGAUAAAGAGGAAUGUGUCUCAAUCAAUGAGAGGCAGGAGCUAGUGGAAAAUGCCUCAGCUUCUUUGUCCCUUGGUGAGCAUUUAUGAUAUAUGUCAAACAUAUGUUCAGAGGGUCCCCAGCAGAACUGAGCCCCAGUUGCCCAAAGUGCUACCCGGUCAAUGACACACUCACUGAUGACACACUCCACCUUCCCCAUCCCCUCAUUCCCUGUACUUCCCAGGAUCAUCUCCCAAACAAACCACCUGCCCCCAAAUCUUACCUCAGUGUCUGCUUUUGGGAGAACCUAAACCAAGAUAUUGCCCCUUUGUACUUUUCCCCACUUCCCAGCCACCACUCUCUCCCUGGGAUAAGCAGGAGUGAGAAACAACUCUACCCAGUCAGUACUUCAUCCUGUCUUUGGUAGAGAAACAAUGGCAGUCUGUUCUGGGCCCUUUCUGGCCAAUCAUACAAAUGUCCAGGCCCAACAGGCUACAAAUCUGCCCUUCCCCAGUGGAUGCUCUCAAGGACACUGCAUCUUGGGGCUAGCUCUGUAUUGGGUCAGAUACUCACUACAGCUCUUCCCCAAGCAAAAGGAAAAAAUUGCAGAUACACACUCAAAACUCAGUGGGAUCCCCUGUAGAGUCAGGCUUCCAUCCUUGCAAAUUAUUUUUUGCUAAUCAAUAUGUUUAAUAAAUAAUAUUCCAGUUGAUUUCAUUACUGGCAAUACACAAAUCAAUAGAAGGUUAUUGCAUGAUAACUUCCCAUUGAUAUUGUAAUUCUCCUGAUUUAAUAAAUGUUGCUUUUCUGAGGAUUGCUGUUUGCAUUAGAAAUUGAAGGAAGAAAGACAAAAAAAAAAUAAUUCCAUUGCAAAACCAAGGCUGCAGCUUAAUAAGAAAGUGGCAUAGAAGUAAGUGGGGGCUCUUCAGCUUCUGUCUACCUUGGCCUGAGUCACAGCCCAGCCCUGCCUGAUUCUUUGUUAGCCUCUUUGGUUGGACUCCAGAACAGAAUGAAGGAAAAGUCUUGGCUAGAAGGCUUUCCAAACACCGCUUUGCAAGGGUGUAACCUUUAUUUUCUUUUGCAAAUCCUGGCCAGGAACUCCUUUAUGAAUGAAAACCCCAAACAGGAUGAAGAUAAAUGGCGUCAAAUGAUAACCUUGGAGGUUCAAAUCUGCUCUCAAAUCCUGAUGUGCCGAAGCCACAGGGAGCCUUGGCUAUUGUCUAGUGCAGAGUUUCAAUUAUUAGGCCAUGAGUAAUAGCAUCAGAAUCACUGAGAAAAUUUAUUAUAAUGCAGAUUCCUGUAGCCCCAAUCCCAGAAAUGAUGGAUCAGUAUGGCUCAUAUAGGGCCUGGGAAAAUGCAUAUUUUAAAAAAAAUUAUUGAAGUAUAAAACAUUAUUAAACUUUAAAAGACAAUCAUGACUCUUAUGCAAAUAUAAAAUGAAAAUAUGCUGAAGAUAUUUAACCUAUUAACUAUGGAAUCAGUAAGAUGUUAUGAUGGGUUCAAAAGAUAACUCAAAGUAUCACACUUUUAUAGUUGAUUCAGUUCAUGCUGAAAUGAAUUUACAAAUAGAUAUACAACUGGCUUUGGGAGUACUGAAGAGGGAUUAUCCCUCUAUCACCAGACAAAAUGUGCACAUCUAUGGGCAGCUAUCAUUUACACUGCUUUCAGUUAACUACAACUUACAAAGGUAUAAAAAAGCUCAAAGAUAUUAAAGGUCACUGAGCCCUUAUAGAAUCUGUUAAAUCUAGCCUAAAGCUGCCUCCUCCUUACAUAUUUUAAGGUCAGCCUAAAGUUUUCUCAGUACAUUGCGAACUAUAAUCUAAAUGGAAUUGUAAACAGACUGUAGCCUGCUCUUCUGCCAAUCACUGAGUUUUGGCCAAUCAAAUGUGGUAAAUUGUUUAAACCGUGUUCAAAUGAGGGAAACACUGAGCUGUAACGAAUCCGGCUGUUUCUGACUUCACUCCUAUUUUCUGUAUGUCACUUUCCUUUUCCUGUCCAUAAAUCUUCUUCCACCAUGUGGCUGUGCUGGACUCUCUGAGCCUACUCUGGCUUGGGAGGCUGCCCAAUUCAUGAAUCAUUCUUUGCUCAAUUAAACUCUUAUUUAACUUGGUUGAAGUUUUCUUUUAACAAAUCAGAUUGCCCAGAAGGGUACCACAAUGCAUUUCUGACUCUCCGUACUUAGAAUCAGGUCAAACUCCACAAGUAAAGGACACAGUCCUCGACAAGACUGCCUUCAUUUAAGACACCAGCCACAAGCUUGAAAGUCCCCAGUCUACCCACACUUCUGACCAACUAGCUACAAACUCAGAGGUUCCUUCAGAUUCAAUAAUUCACUGGAACAGCCUACAGAACUCAGGAAAGUGCUAUACUUAUGAUUACAGCUUUAUUACAUAGGAUUAAAUCAGGACCAGCCAAGAGAAGAGACCAGACCCACAGUGUGAAGUAUGGGACGGCUACAGACACAAGGUUUCCACAUCCUCAGGAUGUGCUACCUUCUUAGCACAUAGAUGUGCAUCCCCAACCAGGAAAGUUCACCUGAGCGCCAAUGUCCAGAAUUUUUACUGGGAUUUCACUAUGGAUUGAAUGAAUCAUUGACCAUGUGACUGAACUCAAUCUCUAACCUGCCUCCACUCCCCAGAGGUCAAACUGACAUCACUUCACUAAAAGCUCCAACCUCUUAAUCACAUGGUUGGUCUUUCUGGUGUGGCCAGCUCCCAUCCUGAAACCAUCUAGGGACCACCAUUAGUCACCUCAUUAGCAUGAAGCCAGGUGUGUCUGAGAUGCAAGCCAUGAAUAACAAACACAUUCUUAACAGUCCAAAAAUUCCAAGGGAUUAGAGGCUCCCUCUCCAAAACAAGGAGCAAAGGCCAGCCAAAUUCUUUAUUACACAACAGGUGUUUUAGACACCUUGAUUUCUAUUAAAAAUGCCCAGUUAUGUUUUGGUCCAUUUCAAAUAAUUUAAUGUUUUCUCUAUAAUAAAUACAGAAAACUGUACAAAUCACAAAUGAAUAGUUUGAAGAAUCUUCAAAAGUGAACACCACCAUGUAACCAAUACCCAGGUCAAGAAAUGGAGUGUGAUUAGCACCCCAGAAAAAAAAUCCCUUCUGUCACUACUCCCCCAAGGGUAACCACUAUUCUGACUGCUAACACCAUAGAUGCCUCUUGUCAGUUUUGC
rnacentral:lncRNA from 10 species